rnacentral:rRNA from 1 species
UACAGAGGUCCCAAGCGUUGUUCGGAUUCACUGGGCGUAAAGGGUGCGUAGGCGGUCGGGUAAGUCUGAUGUGAAAUCUCACAGCUUAACUGUGAAACUGCAUUGGAUACUAUCCGGCUCGAGGAAUGGAGGGGAGACUGGAAUACUUGGUGUAGCAGUGAAAUGCGUAGAUAUCAAGUGGAACACCAGUGGCGAAGGCGAGUCUCUGGACAUUUUCCUGACGCUGAGGCACGAAAAGCCAGGGGGAGCAAAACGGGG